rnacentral:misc_RNA from 1 species
AUGGCUUCGUGCUCAUCUAUCAAAAUGUCCCACAAGCAAUUCUCCUUUCAUGAUGUGGGGUGGGAAGGUGCCCCAAAGGCUAGGUUCUUGUGCUUCCUACCCUUUCAAGGGAAUCAAGCUACUUGACGGUUAGCCUCCAUUUGGUUCCUUUUGAUGGGCACAGGAGGACAGCAAAGCACCCCCCAUGUUCUACCGAGCCUUCAUCAGUCGCGUGGCCCGUAGGGACGUGUGAUUCUCUUAGACCCAGUACAUGCCACGGACGAGGACUCCGUCCAAGUCCUACCAGAAAGCUUCAAUAUAAUGUAUGACAGACGCUCUCGCCCCAUGACCACCUUGAUGGUGCAAGGGUGACGAGCGGAGGAUUGCUUCCGUGGUUGAUUCCUGCCAUCUUCAUAUGCUUGUCUC